UACAGAGGUCUCAAGCGUUGUUCGGAUUCAUUGGGCGUAAAGGGUGCGUAGGCGACGCGGUAAGUCGGGUGUGAAAUCUCGGAGCUUAACUCCGAAACUGCAUUCGAUACUGCCGUGCUUGAGGACUGGAGAGGAGACUGGAAUUUACGGUGUAGCGGUGAAAUGCGUAGAUAUCGUAAGGAAGACCAGUGGCGAAGGCGGGUCUCUGGACAGUUCCUGACGCUGAGGCACGAAGGCCAGGGGAGCAAACGGG
rnacentral:rRNA from 1 species